rnacentral:rRNA from 1 species
UGAACCUCGGGACGCAGCAGUGAGGAAUAUUGGUCAAUGGCCGCAGGGCUGAACCAGCCAAGUCGCGUGAGGGAUGACGGUCCUAUGGAUUGUAAACCUCUUUUGUCAGGGAGCAAAGGGCGCCACGUGUGGCGCUUUGCGAGUACCUGAAGAAAAAGCAUCGGCUAACUCCGUGCCAGCAGCCGCGGUAAUACGGAGGAUGCGAGCGUUAUCCGGAUUUAUUGGGUUUAAAGGGUGCGCAGGCGGAAUGUCAAGUCAGCGGUAAAAUUUCGGGGCUCAACCCCGUCGUGCCGUUGAAACUGGCC